UACGUAGGGUGCAAGCGUUAAUCGGAAUUACUGGGCGUAAAGCGUGCGCAGGCGGUUAUGCAAGACAGAUGUGAAACCCCCGGGCUCAACCUGGGAACUGCAUCUGAUACUGUUGAGCUAGAGUAUGUGAGAGGAAGGUAGAAUUCCAGGUGUAGCGGUGAAAUGCGUAGAGAUCUGGAGGAAUACCGAUGGCGAAGGCAGCCUUCUGGCAUAAUACUGACACUGAGGCUCAAAAGCGUGGGUAGCAAACAGG
rnacentral:rRNA from 1 species